rnacentral:rRNA from 1 species
GAUGAACGCUGGCGGCGUGCUUAACACAUGCAAGUCGAACGAUGAAGCCCAGCUUGCUGGGUGGAUUAGUGGCGAACGGGUGAGUAACACGUGAGUAACCUGCCCUUGACUCUGGGAUAAGCCUGGGAAACUGGGUCUAAUACUGGAUAUGACUUCUCAUCGCAUGGUGGGGGGUGGAAAGAUUUAUUGGUCUUGGAUGGACUCGCGGCCUAUCAGCUUGUUGGUGAGGUAAUGGCUCACCAAGGCGACGACGGGUAGCCGGCCUGAGAGGGUGACCGGCCACACCGGGACUGAGACACGGCCCAGACUCCUACGGGAGGCAGCAGUGGGGAAUAUUGCACAAUGGGCGCAAGCCUGAUGCAGCGACGCCGCGUGAGGGAUGACGGCCUUCGGGUUGUAAACCUCUUUCAGUAGGGAAGAAGCGAGAGUGACGGUACCUGCAGAAGAAGCGCCGGCUAACUACGUG